GCGUAGCAAUACGAGCGGCAGUACGGGUGAGUAACGCGUGGGAAUCUACCCAGCUCUACGGAAUAACCCAGGGAAACUUGGGCUAAUACCGUAUACGUCCGAUAGGAGAAAGAUUUAUCGGAGUUGGAUGAGCCCGCGUUGGAUUAGCUAGUUGGUGGGGUAAUGGCCUACCAAGGCGACGAUCCAUAGCUGGUCUGAGAGGAUGAUCAGCCACACUGGGACUGAGACACGGCCCAGACUCCUACGGGAGGCAGCAGUAGGGAAUAUUGGACAAUGGGCGAAAGCCUGAUCCAGCCAUGCCGCGUGAGUGAUGAAGGCCCUAGGGUUGUAAAGCUCUUUCACCGGUGAAGAUAAUGACGGUAACCGGAGAAGAAGCCCCGGCUAACUUCGUGCCAGCAGCCGCGGUAAUACGAAGGGGGCUAGCGUUGUUCGGAAUUACUGGGCGUAAAGCGCACGUAGGCGGACUAC
rnacentral:rRNA from 1 species